rnacentral:snoRNA from 1 species
CCCAGCUGUAGGCAACUGCCUAGGUUGUUUGUACCCAGGCAAGUGUUAUACUGCUGGGAAAAAAGCAGCUAAUAGUUGAUGGGCAUUCUGGGCCUGGUUAAUACCAAAUCUGUUAACUAUACCAGUGUGCUGGCAUAGUUGCCUAUUCUAUUUUUUAAAAAG